CUACCAUGGCGUUUACGGGUAACGGAGGAUUAGGGUUCGAUUCCGGAGAGGGAGCCUGAGAAACGGCUACCACAUCUAAGGAAGGCAGCAGGCGCGUAAAUUACCCAAUCCUGACUCAGGGAGGUAGUGACAAGAAAUAACGGACCGGUUCCUUUGGAUUCGGGAUUGCAAUGAGCCGAAUUUACACCCCUUAGCGAGGAUCGAUUGGAGGGCAAGUCUGGUGCCAGCAGCCGCGGUAAUUCCAGCUCCAAUAGCGUAUAUUAAAGUUGUUGCAGUUAAAAAGCUCGUAGUUGGAUUUCUGGGAGGGUGCCAAUGUCCGUCGACGUACGUGUUGCAGCGGCGCCCUUCCAUCCUUCUGUUAACGGCUCUCGGCAUUCAUUUGCUGGUGUCGGGCUCAGAUAUUUUACCUUGAGAAAAUUAGAGUGUUUCAGGCAGGCUAGGCCGGAAUACAUUAGCAUGGAAUAAUGGAAUAGGACUACGGUCUCUUUGUUGGUUUGAGGGACUGCAGUAAUGAUUAAUAGGGAUAGUUGGGGGCAUUAGUAUUUAAUUGUCAGAGGUGGAAUUCUCGGAUUUGUUAAAGACUAACUUAUGCGAAAGCAUUUGCCAAGGAUGUUUUCAUUAAUCAA
rnacentral:rRNA from 1 species